rnacentral:rRNA from 1 species
CCUACGGGUGGCUGCAGUGGGGAAUUUUGCGCAAUGGGGGAAACCCUGACGCAGCAACGCCGCGUGCGGGACGAAGGCCCUCGGGUCGGAAACCGCUUUCAGCAGGGAAGACAACGACGGUACCUGCAGAAGAAGCUCCGGCCAACUACGGGCCAGCAGCCGCGGUAAUACGUAGGGGGCGAGCGUUAUCCGGAUGCAUGGGGCGAAAAGCGCGCGUAGGCGGCCGCCUAAGCGGAACCUCAAACCCCGGGGCUCAACCCCGGGCCGGGUUGCAGACUGGGCGGCUAGAGUGCGGUAGAGGAGAGCGGAAUGCCCGGUGUAGCGGUGGAAUGCGUAGAUAUCGGGCAGAACACCGAUGGCGAAGGCAGCUCUCUGGGCCGUCACUGACGCUGAGGCGCGAAAGCUGGGGGAGCGAACAGGAUUAGAUACCCUAGUAGUC